rnacentral:rRNA from 1 species
CCCUUAGAUGUCCUGGGCCGCACGCGUGCUACACUGAUGCAUACAGCGAGUACUCCCAGCUCCGAGAGGCUGCUGGUAAUCAGCAAUAUGCAUCGUGAUGGGGAUAGAUCUUUGGAAUUAUAGAUCUUGAACGAGGAAUUCCUAGUAAUCGCAGGUCAUCACCCUGCGUUGACUAAGUCCCUGCCCUUUGUACACACCGCCCGUCGCUCCUACCGAUUUCGAGUGAUCCGGUGAAUCAUUCGGACCGCGGCCCCUAGGCAUGCGGAAAGUCUGGUAAACCAUAUCACUUAGAGGAAGGAGAAGUCGUAACA